rnacentral:rRNA from 1 species
CCACGGGAGGCAGCCGUGAGGAAUAUUGGUCCAUGGCCGAGAGGCUGAACCAGCCAAGUCGCGUGAGGGAAGACGGCCCUACGGGUUGUAAACCUCUUUUGUCGGGGAGCAAAGCGAGUCACGUGUGACUCAUUGAGAGUACCCGAAGAAAAAGCAUCGGCUAACCCCGUGCCAGCAGCCGCGGUAAUACGGAGGAUGCGAGCGUUAUCCGGAUUUAUUGGGUUUAAAGGGUGCGGAGGCGGAGGUGGAAGUUAGCGGUAAAAUUGCGGGGCUCAACCCCGUACUGCCGUUGAAACUGCAUGCCUUGAGUGCGCGAGAAGUAUGCGGAAUGCGUGGUGUAGCGGUGAAAUGCAUAGAUAUCACGCAGAACUCCGAUUGCGAAGGCAGCAUACCGGCGCGCAACUGACGCUCAUGCACGAAAGCGUGGGUAUCGAACAGGAUUAGAUACCCUUGUAGUC